GUAAAUCCGGGCCAGCAGCCGCGGUCAUACGGAAGAUACAAGCGUUAUCCGGAAGUACUGGGCGUAAAGAGGUGCGUAGGUGGCAUAGUAAGCAGAUAGUGAAAUUGUGUGGCUCAACCAUACACCCAUUAUCUGAACUGCUAAGCUAGAGUAUAUGAGAGGUAGCUGGAAUUCCUAGUGUAGGAGUGAAAUCCGUAGAUAUUAGGAGGAACACCGAUGGCGUAGGCAGGCUACUGGCAUAUUACUGACACUAAGGCACGAAAGCGUGGGGAGCGAACGGGAUUAGAUACCCGGGUAGUC
rnacentral:rRNA from 1 species